rnacentral:misc_RNA from 1 species
UCAAACUUGGUCAUUUAGAGGAAGUAAAAGUCGUAACAAGGUCUCCGUUGGUGAACCAGCGGAGGGAUCAUUACAGAGUUAUUCAACUCCUAAACCACUGUGAACUUACCUUUGUUGCCUCGGCAGGUAGUAUACCUCUAGCUAUACUAUAGCUCGACUAUACUGUUAGCCUGCCGAAGGUCCAUUAUAACUCUUGAAUUUUAGUUAUUCUGAAUACUUAAACAAAUAAGUUAAAACUUUCAACAACGGAUCUCUUGGUUCUGGCAUCGAUGAAGAACGCAGC